UACGUAGGGGGGCGAGCGUUUGUCCGGAAUCAUUGGGCGUAAAGCGCGUGUAGGCGGCCCGGUAAGUCCGCUGUGAAAGUCCAGGGCUCAACCCUGGGAUGCCGGUGGAUACUGUCGGGCUCGAGUCCGGAAGAGGCGAGUGGAAUUCCUGGUGUAGCGGUGAAAUGCGCAGAUAUCAGGAGGAACACCAAUGGCGAAGGCAGCUCGCUGGGACGUGACUGACGCUGAGACGCGAAAGCGUGGGGAGCAAACAGG
rnacentral:rRNA from 1 species